rnacentral:lncRNA from 1 species
UAGCAUGCAGCAGUCUUCUAGUGUAUAGUCCACUUCUCCAAUCUUCUUCCACAAUUUAAUCCAAAAUACUUAGUUGCCAGGUGGUGGAGAAAGGAAUGGGAUUGAGGGAAUUGUAGUUGGGAUAUUGGGGAUUGAUGGGAUGCUUGGCAAUGGAGGUAAAGCAACCUUAGGAACACUAGGCAAGCUUGGAAGCGGCGGCAGCGUUGGCUUUGGUAGAGACGGGUUUGUGGGGAAUGUGGGCUGCGGCAGAGUUGGGACACUAGGCAUUGGUGGUAAUGAAGGCUUUGGCAAAUUUGGCACUGAAGGUAAAGGUGGUAAUUGCUGAAGAUGACGAGCAGCUAGCCCAACAUCCAUUCUUGAAAAUGACAAAGCCACGAACAAUGCAGCGAAGAUCAAGCACUUGAAAGAAGCCAUGGUGUUAUUAGACCUUAAAAGUGAAUCAAAGAUCUUUAUGCUAUGUUUGGGAUGAAGGAAAACAAGGUCAAGUUUUGAGAUUAUAUGGGAAUUGAGCAAGACUUAGGUUGGUGAUGUAGUUGGGGAGCUGUGAAAAUCUUUCAAUCUAGUGUUUCUGGUUAGGUUAACUUCCAGUUAAAAGUUGGCAAGUGCAGUUGAAGCAGUUGGCUAGAUAUCGAAAUGGGGCAAGCAUGCCACCAAAAAGAGAAGAUCAUCAAAAUUAUAAUGCAUUCUGUUGGAAAGCUUAUGUGUAACGUGUGUUUGGUUGUUUAACUACAAAGCAUCUCUCUCGUCAUAAAGAUUUAUGGACAAGUUCAUAAUCAACGAUGAACUUUUGUACUUGAUAAACGUUAUUGAUUGUUUCGGAUCUAAACUUGCUUCGUAUGAAGAGAAGCUAUGUUAGAAAAUUCACCUACAAAUCAUUAAAUAGAACUUUUUAUGUUCAUUAUUAUAGUUUAUUAUAUUCAUUCACGUUUAAUUUUUCAUUUUACUUAUAAUUUAUCUAUUUAUAUUCCUAUUAUAACUUAGAGUUGUGGCUUUAUUUAAUUACUAAUUUAAUUGUUUUACUUAUUCAUUUUAAAUUUAAGAAUAUUUUGGCAAAUUUUCUCUUUAAAUUUUUUACAUUACUAAAAUAUCAUAUACUAAUUAGGAAUAAUAAUAAGACUAAUAAAUGUUAUUUAGUAUAUGCAUAUUAAUUAUUAUUAUUAGAUUGAAAAUUGAAAAGUAACCUUUUUUUUUAAAAAAAUAAUAGAAAGAGUUAUCAGUUAAUAAAUGGAAAUAAUAAGAUUUAUUAUAUUUAUUAUAUACUAGUAUUUUUUGAUGUGUUUUGCAUGCUAUUUAUAUUCAUUAUAAAAUUAUUUUUUAAUAAUUUAAAAAAAUUAAUUGUAAAUAUAAAGUUAUAUUAAUAUUAUAAAACAAUGGAUAUUAUUUUUCAACAUAACAAUAUUUCAAAGUAAUGGUAAAACUAUAAUGAUAGCAUUUAUUUUAGUUUUAUAGAGAUAUAUAAUAUUUAAAAUGAUAAGAACAAUUUUUUUAAAUUUAUUAUUUUUAAAAAUAUUAUGAACUAUAUUUUUUGAAAAAUUAAUUUUCUUUUCUUUUUAAAAAAUGAUGGUGAAAGUGUUACUUCAAUCUUUGCUAAAUUUAUAUAAAAAAAAUAAAAAAAAUUUAGGUACAACAAUCUCUUUUGGAUAGUUAUAUAUAAGAGUAUACAAAAAUAAAAACUCAUUCAUAAAUUACCAUCUAAAUGUUAUAAUAUUUUAUAGUUUAAUUUAAAUAAAAUAAAUUAAUUAAAUUAAAAUUUCAAAUAAUAGUAAUUAUUUAUAAUUUUUUAAUUAAUCAAAAUAAAAGUAAUUUAUAAUAAAUAUAAUUAUAAAUAUUUUAAAUAAUCUUAUUAUUUGCUCUUCUUUCACUUAUUUAUAUAUAUAUAAACAAUCUCAUCUUAUUAUUUGCUCUUCUUUCACACACACACACAUAUAUAUAUAAUAACUCAACUAAAUUAAUAUUUAAUUAAAUAAUUUUUAUUUUAUUUUUAAAUAUAAUAUAUUAUAAAAUUUUGAUUCUCAAGAUAGUGAUUUAUAUAUUUUUAUAUACAAUUUUUUGUUUAGUUCAUUAUUUAAAAAAAAAAAAAAUUUAACUUACGAUAAAAUUUUAAUAAAUAAAUUUAUAUGUUAAAAAUAUUUUUUAUAAUAAAAUUUAAUAAAAAUUUUGAAAUAACAACAAAUUGUAAUUAUUUAUGAUAAAAUUUUAAUACAAAUAAUUUAGAUAAUUUUCUACGAUAAAAUUUAAUCAACUAUGAUUUAAAUGUUUAAGAAAUUUCUAAUAAAAAAAAAAAAGAAAAUAUAUGAAUCUUGAUUUAAUAUUGCCACGACGAUAUUUGAAUGAAAUCAAAAUAAUUAUGAGUAAUAACUUUUGAAUGAGAACACAAUAAAAUUACAAGUAAUAAUCAUUAGGACAUCAAAUAAUUACGUAUGAUCAUAGAAUAAACAACUAUCAAAAUCACAAAUAACUCCAAAGGGAUGUAGCAGCAUUCUUCUAAUACACAGUCCGAGAUUCCAAUCUCCUUCCACAAUUUAAUCCAACAUACUUAGUUGCCAGGUGGUGGAGAAAGGAAUGGGAUCGAGGGAAUUGUACUUGGAAUAGUGGGGAUUGAUGGGAUGCUUGGCAAUGGAGGCAAAGCAAACUUAGGAACACUAGGCAAGCUGGGAAGUGGAGGUAGUGUAGGCUUUGGUAGAGAUGGAUUUGUGGGUAAAGUGGGCUGCGGCAGAGUUGGGACACUAGGCAGUGGUGGCAAUGAAGGCUUUGGAAAAUUUGGCACUGAAGGUAAAGGUGGUAAUUGCUGAAGAUGACGAGCAGCUAAGCCAACUUCCAUGCUUGAAAAUGACAAAGCGACGAACAAUGCAGCAAAGGUCAAGCACUUGAAGGAAGCCAUGGCGUUCGUAGAUCUUAAAAGUGAACAAAAGAUAUUGUUGUUAUGUUUGGAAUGAGGGAAGGCAAGGUCAGGUUUGGGGAUUAUAUGGGAACCGAGCUAGGCUUUGGUAGGUGAUGUAGUUGGGGAAACUGUGAAAACCUAUCAAGCUCGUCUUGCUGGUUAGCUUAAUUUCCAGUUAAAAGUUGGUAAGUGUAGUUGAAGUAGUUGGCUAAAUCAGAAUAUUCUCAAUUGCAAGAAGGUCAAAAUAUGCAGAUUAGCAGAUAGAGAAAUGGAACAGACAAUGCCACCAAAAUAUAAAUUAAAAUCAUCAAAAUAAUUUCUUUAUGGGUUAUGAAGGAGUUUUUUCUGGAUUUUGGUUUUGUACCUCAGCCAGUCUUUUCAUCUAUUGGUACCCAACUCCUCUUUUGCUUGGCAAGUCCUUUCGGUGACAGUCCCUAUAUUGACUCUCCUAAUAAGCUUCUGUUCUUUGUUUUUUGGGCCUCAAGUCUUCUUUGUUGAGCUUGCAUUAGGUUUUCAGAAUUAUGUUUUAAGAUUCUAUUGUGCUGGGCCAAGAGCUUUUUUUAUAAAAUGAAUUGCAAUCUUCAAUAAAAAAAAAUUAUAAGAAUCUUCCCUUUUAUUAUUAUUCCUCCUAAAUAAUAUUUUCACUAAAACAUCCUAAUUAAUUUUAACUUUUAAUUCCUAAUAUUAAUACCACUAAUUAAGAAGUGGUGGAUUUAGCUUAGUGUAGUAUACUGGCAUAUUAUUAAACUUGAAAGGAUGAAAUUCAAUAAUUUCAUCAAUGUAAUACAGAAAACACAAGAAAACACACCGAUAACUGUCAGACUUUUUGCAUCCGAAGUGAGAUUGACUCUUGAAAGAAAAUAUAGAUUCAAAACUCAUUAGGCCCAUUAAAACAGAAAAUAUUGUAUACUCCAACUCGUAACUAAAGCAGGCUGGACUGACUCCAUGCUUAGAUCCAUAAAAAAAUAGUCUAAUUCAGUUAUAUAAUGGGAGGUAGGAGAGCAGAUCCAGCUAUUUCGCAGUCCUAUCAAUAUGCGCAUCGGGAGGGAAUUAAAUGGCCGAUUGACAGAGAGGAGUACGCUGAUACGUCCAUAUAUACGGGUCUGAGUGAUAGGGACAGGUGGCACUGUAACAAGAAAACACACCGAUAACUGUCAGACUUUUUGCAUCCGAAGUGAGAUCGACUCUUGGAAGAAAAUAUAGAUUCAAAACUCAUUAGACCCAUUAAAGCAGACAAUAUUGCAUACUCCAACUCGUAACAAAGCAGGCUGGACUGACCCAUGCUCAGGUCCAUAAAAAAAUAGUCUAAUUCAGUGAUAUAAUGGGAGGUAGGGGAGCAGACCCAACUAUUUCGCAGCCCUAUCAAUAAGCGCAUCGGGAGGGAAUUAAAUGAUCGACUGACAGGCUGAUACGUCCAUAUGUACAAGUCUGAGUGAUAGGGACAGGUGGCACUGUAACUUUAUGCGUCACUAAAAAAUAAAAAAAAAAAGAAUAAAGUGGGAGAGACGUGAUCUUACCAUACUAAACUUUAUGGAUACCUUUAUUUACAUAAAUUUAAAUUUCCUUUGAAUUAUAAAGGAUGAGAUUUACUUCUUAUAAGCGAGAACCCUAACCCUAUUAUUAUUGACUUUAAAGUGAAUGCUUUUGAUAUGGUGAACUGACUAGUAUUGAAUCAUCAUAAAAUGUAUAAUAUUAUAAAAAACAUGAAUUGAUUAAAGUUUAUUUAUAACAUCAAAAUUAUCUAUUAAAAAAAAUCAAAAUUAGAUAAUAAUUUUCUCAAAUAAUAAUCAUCAAAACACAAUAAAAUUACAAGUAAUAAUCAUUAGGACAUCAAAUAAUUACGUAUAAUCAUAGAAUCAAAUCAAACCCAUAAUGAAAUAAAUGACAAACAACUAUCAAAAUCACAAAUAACUCCAAAGGGAUGUAGCAGCAUUCUUCUAAUACAGAGUCCGAGAUUCCAAUCUUCUUCCACAAUUUAAUCCAACAUACUUAGUUGCCAGGUGGUGGAGAAAGGAAUGGGAUCGAGGGAAUUGUACUUGGAAUAGUGGGGAUUGAUGGGAUACUUGGCAAUGGAGGCAAAGCAACCUUAGGGACGCUAGGGAAGCUGGGAAGUGGAGGUAGUGUAGGCUUAGGUAAAGAUGGGUUUGUGGGUAAUGUGGGCUGUGGCAGAGUUGGGACACUAGGCAAUGGUGGUAAUGAAGGCUUUGGCAAAUUUGGCACUGAAGGCAAAGGUGGUAAUUGCUGAAGAUGACGAGCAGCUGAGCCAACAUCCAUGCUUGAAAAUGACAAAGAGACGAAAAAUGCAGCAAAGAUGAAGCACUUGAAAGAAGC